GGUGGGAUACGUAGCGAAAGUUACGCUAAUACCGCAUACGAUCUACGGAUGAAAGCGGGGAUCGCAAGACCUCGCGCGAAUGGAGCGGCCGAUGUCAGAUUAGGUAGUUGGUGGGGUAAAGGCUCACCAAGCCAACGAUCUGUAGCUGGUCUGAGAGGACGACCAGCCACACUGGAACUGAGACACGGUCCAGACUCCUACGGGAGGCAGCAGUGGGGAAUUUUGGACAAUGGGCGCAAGCCUGAUCCAGCCAUUCCGCGUGCAGGAUGAAGGCCUUCGGGUUGUAAACUGCUUUUGUACGGAACGAAAAGGUCCUGGUUAAUACCUGGGGCUCAUGACGGUACCGUAAGAAUAAGCACCGGCUAACUACGUG
rnacentral:rRNA from 1 species